rnacentral:rRNA from 1 species
GACGAACCGUGCAAACGUUGUUCGGAUUCACUGGGCUUAAAGGGCGCGUAGGCGGGCGGUCAAGUCAGGGGUGAAAUCUUUCGGCUCAACCGGAAAAGUGCCUCUGAUACUGACCAUCUCGAGGGAGGUAGGGGCAUGUGGAACUUCCGGUGGAGCGGUGAAAUGCGUAGAUAUCGGAAGGAACGCCGGUGGCGAAAGCGACGUGCUGGACCUCUUCUGACGCUGAGGCGCGAAAGCCAGGGGAGCAAACGGG